CCAUUGGAUGUUUUCUUGCUUCCUGUAGAUACUUGAUGAUGAUGGUAUUGCUGCUCCAGGGGAAAUUCUUAGGCCAUAUGACAUCCAUAUCAAUAAACAAUCACCAAUUGAUACACGUACUCCAAAAACAGGAUCUGCAGCAAAUUUGCCCGAUAGUGCAUAUCGGUCCAAUGCACAAUCAUUCAAUGAUAAUGGAGGAGAAGUAGUUGAUAGGGUGGUUCUAAUGCUCUGAUAAGGAUAAUAACAUGUGUAUCAAAUUUCUAAUUCGUCACACUCGCAUGCCUGAGGAUAUGGAACCAUGAGGAGGCUACACUGCUUAACAGUUUUGAUAAUCAUGAUUUUCCCGACAAAGGAAUUUCUAAGCUCUGCGUUGUAAAUGAGCUUGAUGAUAGCUUGCUUCUUGCUGCUUCAUCUGAUGGAAACAUUUGGAUUUGGAAGGACUAUACUCUGAAGGGUAAACAAAAACUUGUCAUUGCAUUCUCUUCAAUUCAUGGUCAUAAACCUGGUGUAAGGAGUCUGAAUGCAGUUGUUGAUUGGUAACAACAAUGUGGCUAUCUAGUAUGUGGUUGUUCUUUGAUUAUUUUUGGGAAUGUGGGAUAUCUCCCUCUACCCCAAUGUCCUAAAAUAGUCACUAAUUGUUUCCUCAUAUUGUGAUGUUAAUGAUUUUUUUAUUGUGUUCCUUGUUACAUUUAUACAUAUACCAAUAUGCAUCGGGUGAGAUCUAUUAUGCUAUGGGAUGUUGAUAAAGAGCAGCUUGUUAAUUCUAAAUCUUCAUCAUCAUAUUGCAGUGUCUCAGUGUUGGUAAGCCUCAUCUUUGCAUGAUGUGGUUUGUGUUGGUAAUUCUUAUGAUUGCUUUAGUUAUUUUGGCAUGACAACUAAGCUGUUUUUCAAGACAUUUGAGCCAAAUAUUGUUUGAGGUUUGACAUGCGAAUUACAUAAGAUGUUUAAUGGAACAAUUUGAUUUUGUAAGUAUACAAGAAGACAAAAUUUGAGAUUUCUAGUCAUAGGUUAGAGUUGAGUGUCAAUUUGCCUUCGUGUGUCUAUCCUUCCCAUCGGAUGGAGCUAUUCUAAAUUAGGUGAUUUGACAUUUAUCUAGUAGCUUCACUUUGAAUUGCCACCUAA